rnacentral:rRNA from 1 species
UACAGAGGGUGCAAGCGUUAAUCGGAAUUACUGGGCGUAAAGCGUGCGCAGGCGGUUUCUUAAGUCAGAUGUGAAAGCCCCGGGCUUAACCUGGGAACUGCGUUUGAAACUGGGAGACUUGAGUGUGGCAGAGGGGGGUGGAAUUCCACGUGUAGCAGUGAAAUGCGUAGAUAUGUGGAGGAACACCGAUGGCGAAGGCAGCCCCCUGGGUUAACACUGACGCUCAUGCACGAAAGCGUGGGGAGCAAACAGG